UUGUCUUCUUCAUAUCAAGUAUCAAUAGAUGUUAUUUAUUCGAUUUGGAGGCAAACAUGUUUUUUUUUUUUUUCUUUCUUUUUCUUUUUCAGUAUUGGUAGCGAAUGAAAUUAGAAUGACCCAAUCAUUACUGAAUUUUCUUCAAGCUUGAGUUGUUUGUGUUCACAAUGAAAAAGAGGAGAAGUAAAACAAUGGCAGAAGCAGUAAAAUAUUUAUAUUUACCGGAUGAAAUCUGGGAAUGUGUCUUCAAAUUCCUUGACGAAGGCGAUGACUAUGAUCUUAAUUGUUGCUUGAAGUCUAUCUCCCUCGUCUCUAAACAGUUCUUCUUCAUCACCAACCGUCUCCGUUUCUCUCUCACUAUAUUUUUUCCAACAAUCCCUUUCCUCUGUCACCUUUUUCAUAGAUUCAAAAACCUUAGACUAACCAAUUUCCUCAAGAAUGUCAGGAGCAUAUUUUUGAUGAGUAAUAGCCACACCUAUCUUAGACUAAGCAACUUCAACCUGCAAAAAAAUUUUGGUGGCCCCAAAUCUUGAGUCUGAAAGUGUAGAGACAAAUGUUGUUUUAGCUUUAGGAUGCCUAUUUAAUAAACACUAACCUAGGAAGUUGUAUAUUCUAGGAAUAUUAAUCUAGGAGGUUGUACAAUUAAAUGAUUAUAGAAAGAUUUUCUUUAUUCUAACAAAUUUCAACCUUGAGAACAAGGUUGUUUGUAACGGGGGGUGGUAAUAUUAUGAUUCAAAAUUUCAAAGUCAACAAAUAACCAAUUUUGAAGCAGCAGGCCAUCUGGCAGCAGAGUCAGACAAAAGGCUCAUCAUCCGGAUGUUUAGGAAUUAAGGGAAUGGUGCCGGACGCUUUAGUCAUAUUGAAGUUAGAUGUGGAGCAUAUUGAAGAAGCAAUGCAGAAUAUGUUGAUUUGUUUAAGAGAUGGUGGUCUUUUCUGAUCACGGGAUAGUGGGGAAGUUGAAAUAAUGCUUAAACAAAACCAGAAAAUUGAAUCAUAUGGUCAAAUAUAAGUUAUUUAUAUUGGCACUAGAUACAUGAAAUGAUUUUAUGCUAUGUGGGUGCGUUCCUUGAUAAAGAAUAUUAUGUGUAUAAUUGUAUUGUAGUAGGCUGUCUGCCAUAAACUCACCUUGCUGACUGUAAUUUUCUAUCUCUACUAAUGAAACAUGGUUUUUAUUUAA